UUGGUCUGAUAACUGUUAUGUAAAUUGCGCCUUUCACUUCUUUUCCAAUAUUGGUGUGGUAGUUAUAAACACAACAAGUGUCGAAUCAAGUUCUGAACACACGGAUAAUGAUAUAUUUCAACUUGUCAAAAAUAUGUCCCAUGUACAGUAGUAAAAGUGAUCUCUCCAUUAGUCAUGAAUUAAGACAAUUCGACUGGAAGACGAAUUGUUCGUUUUCAUUGAGAAAAGUCGGCCAUUGCGGUGAGAAAUAUUUUUUCUCACGGGCUCUCCUACGGUCUUUCAUACUAUGAUCGCCGUUUCCAUGGUAACAUGCACAAUACAAACACAAUUAAUGUUGUCAAAUAAAUGUGUCAAAGAAAAACCUACCAGGAAUUACCUUUCAAAACUGUUCAAAAAUAACUGUUAAUUAGAAUUUUAAACAAAUAAGGUAUGUAAAUUUUAAGAAUAUUAAAUACCUACAUGUAUAUGUA